rnacentral:rRNA from 1 species
AGGAAAUAAAUAAUUUUAUUAAAACCUUAAUUUUUUGGCGGCAUUUUAUCUUAAUAGAGGAACCUGUCUUUUAAUAGAUAAUUCACUAUAACUUUCACUUAAUUAAUAAGUUUUUAUACCACCAUUUUGAAUUAAUUUAUAAAUACUUUUCAAAAUAACUUUAUAAAAAAAUAGGUAAAGGUACAGCUAACAAUUAAGAAUAGAUGUGUUACUUAUAAAUAUAAAUUAAGGAAAAUUUUAAAUUAAAAAUUAUGAAAAAGGAUUUAUAAGUAAUACUUAUUAUAAAUAAUAAUUAAAUAUGAAUUAGAAUAAAAAUGUGU